rnacentral:tRNA from 1 species
GCGCCCGUAGCUCAGCUGGAUAGAGCACCGGACUUCUAAUCCGAUGGUCGCAGGUUCGAAUCCUGCCGGGCGCG